CUUUGCGACACGUGUUGUGUACUUUCUGGCCGAGCGAGCAAAUUGACGGAUCCAAAUCUUCAUUUUCGCCGUAAAAUUGGUAUCGAAUUAGAUGUGACCAGAUUUUCAUAUCAAACAGAUUUCAACUCCUGAAGAUUUACAACAUGCCACAGAGGUCUCAACAUCAAGAUAGUAAUGAACCUGAUGAAUCAAAUGAUGACAUUGCUUCAGUCUUCAUCACAGUUAAGGAUGAGCCAUUUGAUGACUGGAGAGAUAUAAAUGAUUAUAAUCAGGAUAUCCGUCCAAUGCAAGUCAAGAAAGAAUCAAGUGAUCUGCAUGGCGAUGGAUUUUAUAACCUAGCUGUACAGCAACAUCUUGAUGUACCAGCCACACUCCUGUCCACUGCGAGUGAGCAGCCUGAUGUCAUGGAUCCCAGUCAUCGCAGUGCUGUUAGUAUGGAUACUCCCCAACCUCCAGACUCUUGCAUCCACUCCGCUCCAUCACCCAUUGUGGCUAGUAGAUCUCCUGGCCAUGCUAAGCGUCCCAGUUUACCCAUAGACUCAUGUCUUUUAAAAGAAAAACAAAGGAGAUUGGAUACGUCUACUGAAAUAACUCGUCAGUUAGAAGAUUUGAAUAAUGAUGACUUUGAUUUCUUGGAGGAUGAACAUAACAUUAGUGAUGGUAUGCCAAGUGAUACAGAUGAUACUGUUGAGGUGGAGGAUGUGCACAGUGAUGAGGAAAUUGAUCCUGCCUCACUCCCAUGGGAAGGAGUAAUGGAAACAUUUUCGUGGACAGCUGGGGAUAAUUUUCAGCCUGAUUUUCCAUUGUAUGGUGGAUAUGAAGUUGGGGUUACAUCUGCUUUUCCAGUUGUUAAUGAUAAUGCCAGGGAAAUUGACUAUUUCCAGGCAUAUUUUGAUGGUGCUUUUAUGGAUUUUCUGUGUGAACAAACAAACAUGUCCCAGAAAUACAAGCAUGACCAUGACCCUACACCUAGCUCAGGGAAAAAUGCGACGAUGGCAUGAUACAAGUGUAGGAGAAUUAUAUGUGUUUUUUGCACUGUUGAUGCUUAUGGGUCAUAUUCGUAAGCAUGUGUUGAAAGAAUAUUGGAUACUAAAUGACAUCACAGCUACUCCAGUAUUUGCAAAAUAUAUGCCCAGAGACAGGUUUUUGUCAUUACUAAGAUUCCUCCACUUUGCUGACAACAGUCAUCCUAAUGAUAAUGAUAAAUUUUGGGAAAUACGUGAAUGCUUCACAAUGCUGAAAGAAAGAUUUGCAAAAUUUUUCCAUCCCUUUCAACGUCUUGUAUUGGAUGGAUCAGUUACACUUUUUCGUGGUCGUUUAGCAUUCAGGCAGUACAUUCCUAGUAGGAGGCAUAGAUCUGAUACCAAAAUUUUCAUUCUUUAUGAUUGUGAAACAGGAUAUGUGCUUGACAUGAUAUUGUGCAGUGCAAGUGAUUCUGAUCUCAAGAAUGACUCGCAUGGAUUCUCUGCUGAGAUGGUGAAGAAAAUGAUGGAUCGUUACCUAGGUGGGAAGCAUAUCCUUUACACUGAUGAUUAUAAGACCUCCCCAAACCUUACAGAAUUCCUUGAAAAAAACAGGUCAUGUGGAACAGUACCUGCAGAUAAGGAACAGGAACAAGAAUUUGCAAAAGUUAUUUAUGGUGAAGGUCAACUGCAGAAGGCUGACAAGUUGCUUGCUAUAUGCAGGCAGGACAAACAUGCUGUAAAUGUACAAACUACUAAUCAAAAGGGAGACAUGGUAGAUAGAUGUAAGAAAGACAAAACAACAGGGAAGCCUAUCAUGAAACCUGAAACUGCAUUGGAUUAUAAUGCACGGAUUUGCCAGGUUGACAAAAGUGAUUUGAUGGUUGGCAGCAUUGAAUGUGUUCGUCGUACUGUGAAAUGGUACAAAAGAAUGUUUUUACAUCUAAUGGACAUCACAGUCCUCAAUUCAUAUAACUUGUAUGUGGUAAAAACUAGCAAGAAGGUAUCACUUAGAAUCUUCAGCAAAAGACUCAUUGAACAGAUUCUGGAAACAUAUGGCGUGGUGCAGAGAAGGGCAAGAGGUUGCUCACAAGCUGGCCUCCCUGACAGACUCCUUGGUAGAGAUUACAUAUCCCGUCAUUUUCUAGAAGCUCUGCCGCCCACUGCUGGGAAACCCAAGGCACAAAGACAGUGUCAUGUUUGCAAAAAUACAACAAAGCGAGCUGGCCGGCGCAAAGAUGUCACAACGUGGUGUAAAGAAUGUGGUGUAGCCUUGUGCAUAAGUUGUUUCAAGGAAUACCAUACACUAAAAAUAUACUAAAGUGUAAGGUAACUGUCUAUGCUAAAUAAGUUGUGUAAUACAAAAUACCAACACGAUAACAAGCUUAAAAGCUCAUUCAAAGUGUCCCUCACCACGAUCACCGCCUAAACAAAGUGCUGAGUAGCCAACAACUACCUUUGCCACUGAUGAUGCAAGAUGAGAGCCGAAGAUCAAGUAUGGCUGGGAUAUGCGAAGUAAGCAAAAAUAAAUUUGUUCACGGCUAUUACUACAAGUGUUUUCUUGUGGAUGAUGUUGUGUAUUUUCUACAAGUAUUGGAGUAUGUAAAUAAAUUAUAUUUUUUGA